AAAAACACAAACCCUGAGUUUCCAUGUCCAACUUUAACUAUCCAUUUUAUAUGAAAUUUUUUUAUAAUUUGUAUUUUUAUUGUUGUUAGAUGACAAAACAUGAUUAAUAUUUUAUGCGUGACUUGUCUUUUUAUUUUUUUCAUAAUUUUCAAAUAAAACGGACGGCCAAACAUUAGGCAUGAAAACCAGGGUUUGUCUUUUU
rfam:Oryza rufipogon genomic scaffold, chr01